rnacentral:rRNA from 1 species
ACUACGGGAGGCAGCAGUGAGGAAUAUUGGUCAAUGGGCGAGAGCCUGAACCAGCCAAGUCGCGUGAGGGAGUCCUGCCCUAUGGGUUGUAAAACUCUUUUGUCGGGGAGCAAAAGCCGGACGUGUCCGGCUGUGAGAGUACCCGAAGAAAAAGCAUCGGCUAACUCCGUGCAAGCAGCCGCGGUAAUACGGAGGAUGCGAGCGUUAUCCGGUUUUAUUGGGUUUAAAGGGUGCGCAGGCGGAUUUUUAAGUCAGCGGUCAAAUCGUGGGGGUCAACCACAUCCAGACGUUGAAACUGGGGAUCUAGAUUGUGCUAGAGGUAUGCGGAAUGCGUGGGGUAGCGGUGAAAUGCAUAGAUAUAACGCAGAACCCCGAUUGCGAAGGCAGCAUACCGGUGCACAACUGACGCUCAGGCACGAAAGCGUGGGUAUCGAACAGGAUUAGAUACCCGGGUAGUC